AAUGAGCAACACAUUGCAUGAUUUCUUCUGAGAAGUAGCCAGAAUCAUCUACAGGAGGACACUUCCAGAUGUCUUCCAAAUUGCUCAGUAGUUCACACUCAUGGGAACCGUUGUCCCUUGUGUUGAAUAAAGCAUAGACUGGUGACCUGUCCAGGGUGUAUCCUGCCUUCCACCCAAUGACUGCUGGGAUAGGCUCCAGCUUCCCCCGCGACACAGAAAGAUAAGCCGCUUAGAAGUCUGGGGCCUAAAAACUUAUUGGAUGGACAUGGAUUAGGCUUGGAAAGACGGAGCUACUUUAGAAGGCAGCCAUUCGGUGGAUGAAUAUGAUGAUUGUCAGUGUGCUGAAAGAGCAUUCAAAGGGAACUCAGUCAAAACUUGGUGAAUUACGUGUCUUCUGGGAAUGUGAGUGAAUUUUCUACUAUUGUCAUCUUAUUUUUAUCAGUAUAAUGUUGCAUUUGAGACCUAAACAUCCACACUUUCUUUUUGGGCCUGUGCCUGAGACACUAAUACAUAAAGAUGUGUGUCAUCGUCAGAAAAACUCCUCAUUUGACACUUCUGACUUUCAAAUUUAUUAUUUCAGGCUUACUGGGUGACUUGCAGCACACACACACCAUAUUAAUAGCCUGUUUUUCUUUUAACUUUAACAAAAAAAACUUUUAAGGACUUUUUAAGUAAAUAUUCAUAUCUAGAUUCAAAGCAAAUAAUGUAUGCACACAUGCCUUGGCUUCUACUCUCAUGUGGCACAUCCCAUCAGACAGGGAGACAAAAAUGUUAAACUGAUUAGACUGUGCCGGCUGGGAGAAUGAGAUCCAGCGAGUGAAACAACAUAGCGUUUCCUCAGUGACAAGUGGGCCAUCUUGAGUCGUGAUGAAUGCUCUCACUUCAUGCUCGCAAGAUCCCUCUCUAUGUCCGCUUGAAGCCUCCGUGAAGAGUCGCAUUACCACAGCUGUGUGGGAACCCUAUGGCUAGAGUUAGCUUUAGCAUUAGCGUGAGAGCCUACUGACAGUAAACUUGGGGGGAGGGGUGGGGCAGGAGUGUGGGGGGAGAGGAAAAACAAGUGUGGAACUGCUGGCGUUCUGUCUGCAAUGUUAGGAAUGGAGAUGAUUGAUAUGAUGUGGUCAUUUGAUGAGGAAACAAGAAGGCAGGGGCUGGAUUAGAGGAUGUGAAGACGGCUGAGUGAAUUUCUAUCCACUUUCUGAAACAACAUGAGCUCUCCUGUCCUGGCCCUUGUAGUGGG